rnacentral:rRNA from 1 species
UACGGAGGGGGCGAGCGUUGUCCGAAGUUACUGGGCGUAAAGCGCGCGUAGGCGGGUUGGUAAGUCCGCUGUGAAAGCCCGGAGCUCAACUCCGGAGGGUCGGUGGAUACUGCCAGUCUUGAAGGUGCUAGGGGGAGAUGGAAUUACCGGUGUAGCGGUGAAAUGCGCAGAUAUCGGGAGGAACACCAAUGGCGAAGGCAGCUCGCUGGGACGUGACUGACGCUGAGACGCGAAAGCGUGGGGAGCAAACAGG